AUGCUCGCUUCGGCAGUAUAUAGACUAAAAUUGGAACCAUAUGGAGAAGAUUAGUCUGGCCCCUACAAGGAUAAUGCAUAAAUUCGUGAAGCACUGCAACUGAUU
ensembl:snRNA U6 U6 spliceosomal RNA